GAAAUGCGAUAACUAAUGUGAAUUGCAGAACUACGUGAAUCAUCGAGUCUUUGAACGCAUAUUGCACUCUGUGGUAUUCCGCAGAGUAUGCCUGUUUGAGUGUCAGUAACUAAUCUCAAACCCCACCAGGGUUUGGAGUUGAGUUUCCAACUUUUUUUGUAGUUGGUUACUUUAAAAGAAGUGGUGAGCAGUUUUGCAAUUUUCAGUUAAGUUGCUCUGACUUGAUAAGACUCCUUAGUAGUUUUUUCAGUUAACGACUUAAUCUGGGAGUAAGACUUGUCUCUUUUCCUCAACCGCGUCUUUUGUUACGCAAUACCUGAGUUUCUCGGAACUCUUGUAACUUGACCUCAAAUCAGGUAGGACUACCCGCUGAACUUAA
rnacentral:misc_RNA from 1 species